rnacentral:lncRNA from 1 species
AGUCAACCCCCGGGAAGGCCAGGAUGUGGCCUUGUUUCGGCAAGGCCGCCCUAUCACCACGGAGAUGGGCAGGCAGGAGACAUCCCCAGUCAGUCGGGCCCAGGUGGGGAUCAGGAGGUUUCAGGAAAACACAAGCUAUGCAGUGGGGCAGGUGAGGCUUGGCCUGCCCAGCCUGUCCUGAGUGUCAUGGGAACAGCUCUGGAAGUGACUCCUCUGUCCUCUGGAAUCUGGAUCAGAUGGGGCCUUCUCCAGACAUCUGUGCUCAGCAGAUGCGACAGACGGCCCCUCGAGUGUAGCCCAGGAUCCAGCACCGGCCCAAGCAGGUGGGAGCUGGGCUGUGGAACAAAUCACCACAAACUGGAGGGCCGAAAACACCAGCAAUGGGCUCCCUCUUGGUUCUGGAGCCGAGAAGGCAGAAAUGAAGGCGUCAUCAGGGUUGCUCCUUCUGGGGCCUCAGAGCAGGACUCUGUUCCCUGCCCGUCCCCAGCUCCGGUGGUUGGCGGCCUUCCUCCGCCUGUGGCCCUGCACUCCAAUCGCUGCCUCUGUUGUCACUUGGCCCCCCAUGUGCCUCUGUGUCUCAGAAGGACACAAGUCAUAUUGAAUUAAGGACCCUCCCUACCCCAGCAUGACCCCGUUUUAACUUAGAACUUUCACAAUGAUCUGAUUUGCAAAGAAGGCUGGAUUCUGAGGUCCUGGGAAGGACAUGAAUUUUGGGGGAUGCUGUUCACCUCAGUACACCGGUGCAGAGUUCGGUGACACCGCCAAGUUGCUUGACGGUGAGCAGCCUGGCAUUGUAGAAAGGCAGAGGUUGACUUUAGUUUGGUCCCUGGCUUUGUCCUUUAUUUGUUCUGUGACACCUUGGACAAGUUUUGUGACCCGAGUGUCAGUUUCCUAGGAACCAGUGACAAUGAUCAGAGAUAGGGGGACUCAAGGGUAAGUAAAGUGCAGGAUGAACUGCAGCGGAGCGUGUGAGGUGCCUGGCAGGUGUCGGCCACCCAGUGGCGCUCGAAGCACCUGCUGCUCCCUCCUUCCUCGCUCCCAGCUGCCUUCUCUGCUGGGAGCUCUUUGGAGAGGAGCUGUGUGACUGGUUCAUCCUGUCCCUCGAGGAGCUACCAGUUCAGUCAAGGACAUUGAGAAGCAGCGGAUGGUGACAGUGCAGUGUGACAGUGGUGUGCUGUGGGAGCCCCAUGGAGCGGCUACCCAGGCAGGAACGUCAGGGAGGCUUCCUGGAGGAGGUGGUGCUUCAGAUGAGACUUGAAGGAGCAGAAGGUGUUUGCUAGACAAAGGGGCUUGCUUGGAUGAAUGGUCUUCAGAGCGUGGUCCCAGUAAGGAAGGAGACCACUACUACUCUUGCUGCCCUCCUCCCCCGACCUUGCCUAGUUUACAAGACAGGAGGAAAGAGAGAAAGCAAAAAGUUAGAAAAAAAAAAAAAAAAAACAGAAGUAAGAUAAAUAGCCAGAAGACCUUGGCACCACCACCUGGCCCUGGUAGUUAAAAAAAGUAAUAAUAAUAAUAUCGACCCCUGACUUAAACUACUUGUAUUAUCUGUAAAUUCCAGACAUUGUAGGAAAAAGCAUUGCAAAAUUUUCUGUUCUGUUAGCUGAUUCAUGUAGCCCCCAGUCACGUUCCCCAUGCUUGUUCGAUUUAUCAUGACCCUUUCACGUGGGCCCCUUAGAGGUGUAAGCCCUUAAAAGGGCCAAGAAUUUCUUUUUCCGGGAGCUCGGCUCUUAAGACGCAAGUCUGCUGAUGCUCCCGGCUGAAUAAACCUCUUCCUUCUUUAAUCCAGUGUCUGAGGAGUUUUGUCUGUGGCUCCUCCUGCUACACCAGAACAGCAGGGCCGGCAUCCCCUGAGCUAGAACAACCCUGAGGCAGGGCAUCCACUGCAGGGAAGGCUGGGAGAGGGGCCAGAGAAACCUGUCAGGGGAUUCUGAUGUGUGCUCCGGUCUCAGGACAUUCUCACAGGGGCGACAGGGACUGGAGCUGGGACAGAGUGUGGCACAUCUGGAGAGAUUGCAGCAGGGGCAGAAGCUGUGGGAUAGGGAAGCAGCUCCAUGUGGCGGGAGUCAGGGGGAUGUGGAUGGUGGGGGACAGAGAGCGGGAUGAGGAAUUUAGAUAUUUCCUAAAGCUGGAAGUCUGUGAUUCUGCACCCCUGUGAGCUGCUGUAGAGUGGCUUUGGUGAUGGACAUGAAAUAUUAAACGCUGGCAAAGUGCCUGAACAGAAAGAAAAAGCCCACCUUCUCAAAGGAGAUGCAGCAGGUUGCAUAGUGUCUUCCAACCACCUUUUUUGGGCCAGGGUUCCAUGUUCCACAGCCCCCCAGAUCUGCGGGUCCCCACUACUCCUGCCUUCUCACUCAAGGCCUUCCUCAAGGCCACACCAUCAUCUCUGUUGAGUUGAUUUCUUUUGUGAGUCAAGACUUCCAGGUGACAGAGUACCAGAAAACCCCUGACAAUCUGGGGAGACUGGGUCCAAGUCCAGGACUGCCUGUGGUGGAGAGCACUCUGCUUUGAAGCAUAGGGGACUCAGAGCACCUUCCUGCAUGUGCUGACCCAGGCCUGGCAGAUGCCCAUCUAACAUGCUAAUGUCCUUCAGGCCAAUGCAGUGGCUCGUGCCUGUAAUCCCAACACUCUGGGAGGCUGAGGCAGGAGGAUGGCUUGAGCCCAGGAGAUCAAGACCAGCCUGGGCAACAUAGCAAGACCCCAUCUCUACAAAAAAAUUAAAACCAAAAAGGCUUCAAAUGUCUUUCCUCAUCAGAUCCCUCUGGCAUGGACAUGAAUUCCUCCCUGUGACCUUCAUUUUAAGUAGAAGCACAGGGACAUCUCAAGUGUCCCGGUGGUGGCAGGAACGGGGCCCCCUGCCUGUGAGCACAGGGCUGGCUGGUGCAGGGUACUGGCCUCAGGUGAGCAGCCUGCCCAGCCCCUGGGUCACUGACUUCCUGAGUGACUCUGGGGCCCUUUCCUUCCUCUAGGGCCACUUUCUUCAUCUGUAAAACAAGGGAUUCAGAUGAGAUCACCUCCAGGACUCUGAACCCACAGAGCCCACAUUCUCACACCAAGGUGCCCAGAUUCCUAGGCGUGCACAGUGCAUGCUGGGCACAUUAGAACACCAGGGGUUUUAAAACAUUUCUAUUUAGACUAAGAAACUCACAUGGGGAGAAAUCAGGAGCCCUGUGAAAACACGGGGUCUCCAUCUCCCAGACCCAUCCAGCCAGUUCCUGGAGAGACAGUUCUUCCCACCCCCGAGUGGCCAUGUGCACUGGGGGUCCUGACCCAGGCGAGGCAGUCUCCAUAGUCAGCUCCCCUGUCUGGGUCUUGGGUGCCCACAAAGGGAAGGCCUGUUGGAGAACCUGGAGGAGGAGGAGUUGAGAGGAGGAGGGAGAGAGGCUGGGCACUGCAGCCUGUGGAAGUCCUGUUAAGUCUGCAGUCGGCACACCCCACAUUUGCCGCUUCUGCCCUCGCAGCGAGUCUCCCAGUGCUGCCAAGGUCAACACCCUGGGGUGGGGGUGCAGGCUGAGGCCUGGAGCAGAGGAUGGGGUCCAAGUCUGGCUCAGCCAUGUGCUGGCUGGGGACCUCUCUAAGCCCAGUUUUCUCAUCUGUAAAAUGGAUGGGGUGCACAUGCUCCUACCCCAAGGAUUGUUGUGAGGAUGGGCAGUGCCCAUCCGGCAGUUGCUCAUUGGCAGCUGAAUGGUGAAUGUUAUCUGUCCACUUGGAUAGGCUAUUGGCCCUGUUGUUUGUUCAAACUCUCAUCUAGAUGCCGCUGUGAAGAUAUUUUUGGGUGUCAUUAGUAUUUAACUAGUGGACUUUGAAUAAAACAGAUGACCUUCCAUAGUGUGGGUAGGCCUCGUCCAAUCCGUUGAAACUGAGGUUUCCAGAAGGAAUUCUGCCUCGAGAGCACAAUACAGAAAGCCUGACUCAGUUUCCAGCCUGCACCGUGUGGACUCAAGCCUGAGAUAUCAGCUAUUCCCUGAGUCUCAGGCCUGCCAGCCUGCCCUAAGAGUUUGGACUUACCAGUCCCCACAAUCACACGAGCCAAUCGCUUAAAACUCAAUCAAUCAAUCAGUGUUAAAAUAAGUUACCAAUGUUCAAAAAUAAGGUUUCACACACACACACACACACAAGAGGAUUCCUAACAUGGAAAUCAGAUGAUGUGACCACACUGGGCAUCCGUUCCUGCCAGAGCGGGACAGUCAAGCCCCCCGCUCCCCUCACCUGAGGUUGGGCUGCCCCAGGCAUGUGAGUUUUUCCAAGCUCCUUUCUGGCUCUGGGUUCAGUUUAGCAAACGCUUGGUUGGAAACACUCUCGCUAGGUGCUGGGGAUACCGGGGAGAGUGUGGUCCCUGCCCUGGAGGAGGUGCUGUGGCAUCCUGGUGGGGACCAACCCGCCAGCCCACGGUGCAGGCAAGAGAGGUCAGGCGGGGAGGAGUAGGGCGAAGCCUGGGGGUGUGCAAGCCCCCUGCCUCCUCCUUCCCUUGGGAAGACCGCAGAGCCACAGCCUGGCCAUCCUGUUCACGGGAAAGCUGGGUUGGAGAAGCUAGCUUGGGUCUGGGACCAGAAGAGGACUCAUGGGUCCUACUCCUGGAAUUGGUCUAUGAGGUGCAGCCACUCCCAGCCCUGCCAGCUCAGGAAAGGGGGGCCGUUUCUCCAAAUCUCAGCCCCCUCAGGUGCCCACUGUCUCC